rnacentral:rRNA from 1 species
UACGGAGGGGGCUAGCGUUGUUCGGAUUUACUGGGCGUAAAGCGCACGUAGGCGGAUUGUUAAGUGAGAGGUGAAAUCCCGGAGCUCAACUCCGGAACUGCCUUUCAUACUGGCAAUCUAGAGUCCGGAAGAGGUGAGUGGAACUCCUAGUGUAGAGGUGGAAUUCGUAGAUAUUAGGAAGAACACCAGUGGCGAAGGCGGCUCACUGGUCCGGUACUGACGCUGAGGUGCGAAAGCGUGGGGAGCAAACAGG